UCUGCCUUGUGGUCACGUGAGCCUACCUUACCCCUCUCUUCUUUUUCAUUCUUCAUCUAUUUUUUCUUCUUCCCCAAAAAACAAUAACACCACCCUCAAUCAUUUAAACAACAUCAUCAGAUCAAACAUACUAAUGAGGUGAUAGAAAGUUUUCCUUGAUCAAUAUAUACAAAGAUUUAAUAGCAGAUAAUGGAGACCACGAAGGAUGAAUGACUUUUAUUAAUGCGGCAAUCCCAGUUACAUGUGGCUAUUUCUCAAGGUGAUGACCGAGACUAUCAAAUCCAACUUUUUGGUGAACAACCGACCUUAUUUCUAUUGGAACUCAAACAUCUUUUAUUGUAGUUUAUGUUUGCUUUGUAAUGCUCUUAAUUUUCUAAGUAAAUAACAAAUAACUUGUAUUAACACACCUUUUUGAUAAAUAAAACUUAGUUUAAGGUUUUUUUUC